rnacentral:lncRNA from 1 species
CGAUCACUGGCUUGAUAGGAUCCGAUGCAUGUUAGGCUUUGACCUUUAAAGAAAUUCCAGCCAUGUGCUUUUCAGCAUGGGCUUCAGGCUCAGUUUUCCUCCAAGAUAUAAUGGAUCCGAUUUACUAGAGGUGCUGUAACUUUGGCACAUCCUUGUGAACUCACAGUUGAUCAAAAAUCACCCAAAUAAGAAGGAAAAGAGGAAGAUAUAGAAGAGAUAUUUAGAGGAUGAAGUAGCUCCUUAUUCUCGAGCUACUUGAGAUAGAAGAAGAUGAGGAUGAUUUUCAAUGAGCCAGUAGAGGGCUCUUUUUAUAGGCAUCCAAAGGUUUAACCCCCACAC